ACACGUGCUACAAUGGCCGGUACAGACGGACGCAAAGCCGCGAGGUGGAGCAAAUCCUAAAAAGCCGGUCUCAGUUCGGAUUGCAGGCUGCAAUUCGCCUGCAUGAAGUCGGAAUCGCUAGUAAUCGCAGGUCAGCAUACUGCGGUGAAUACGUUCCCGGGCCUU
rnacentral:rRNA from 1 species